rnacentral:rRNA from 1 species
CUUCGUAGGUGACCUGCGGAAGGUCAUUACGAAAUUCGGCGCGCUUCGGCGCUGCCUUAUUCACCCACCCUUUGUCUACGUGUACCUUCAUAGCUUCCUCGGCGGGCUCGCCCGCCGCCAGGAACCCACGAAACCCCUUGCAUUAUACACGAAAACUUCUGAUAACAAACCUAAAUUAUUACAACUUUCAACAAUGGAUCUCUUGGUUCUGGCAUCGAUGAAGAACGCAGCGAAAUGCGAUAAGUAGUGUGAAUUGCAGAAUUCAGUGAAUCAUCGAAUCUUUGAACGCACAUUGCGGCCAUAGGUAUUCCUUUGGCCAUGCCUGUUCGAGCGUCAUUUACACCCUCAAGCCUAGCUUGGUGUUGGGCGUCUGUCCCGCCGUUUUCGCGCGCGGACUCGCCUCAAAGUCAUUGGCGGCGGUCGUGCCGGCCCCUCGCGCAGCACAUUUGCGCUUCUCGGAGGCCCGGCGGAUCCGCGCUCCAGCAAAGACCUUUCAUGACUUGACCUCGGAUCAGGUAGGGAUACCCGCUGAACUUAAGCAUAUCAAUAAGCGGAGGAAAAGAAACCAACAGGGAUUGCCCUAGUAACGGCGAGUGAAGCGGCAACAGCUCAAAUUUGAAAUCUGGCCCCUUCGGGGUCCGAGUUGUAAUUUGCAGAGGGUGCUUUGGCGUUGGCGGCGGUCUAAGUUCCUUGGAACAGGACAUCGCAGAGGGUGAGAAUCCCGUAUGUGGUCGCCUGCCUUCGCCGUGUAAAGCCCCUUCGACGAGUCGAGUUGUUUGGGAAUGCAGCUCUAAAUGGGAGGUAAAUUUCUUCUAAAGCUAAAUACCGGCCAGAGACCGAUAGCGCACAAGUAGAGUGAUCGAAAGAUGAAAAGCACUUUGGAAAGAGAGUCAAACAGCACGUGAAAUUGUUGAAAGGGAAGCGCUUGCAGCCAGACUUGCCUGUAGUUGCUCACCCGGGCUCCUGCCCGGGGCACUCUUCUGCAGGCAGGCCAGCAUCAGUUUGGGCGGUUGGAUAAAGGGCUCUGACACGUACUUCCCCUCGGGGUUGACAUACAGGGGAGCCGCAAUGCGACCAGCCCGGACUGAGUCCGCGCAUCUGCUAGGAUGCUGGCGUAU